UACGUAGGGACCGAGCGUUGUCCGGAAUCAUUGGGCGUAAAGAGCUCGUAGGCGGCUGUUCAAGUCGAACGUGAAAACUCGGAGCUCAACUCCGAGCCUGCGUUCGAUACUGGACGGCUAGAGUCUGGUAGGGGGAUCUGGAAUUCCUGGUGUAGCGGUGGAAUGCGCAGAUAUCAGGAGGAACACCGGUGGCGAAGGCGGGAUCCUGGGCCAGUACUGACGCUGAGGAGCGAAAGCGUGGGGAGCAAACAGG
rnacentral:rRNA from 1 species